GACGAACGCUGGCGGCGUGCUUAACACAUGCAAGUCGAACGGAAAGGCCCUUCUUUUGUGGGGUGCUCGAGUGGCGAACGGGUGAGUAACACGUGAGUAACCUUCCCUUUACUUUGGGAUAACUUCAGGAAACUUGGGCUAAUACCGGAUAGGAGCUCCUGCUGCAUGGUGGGGGUUUGAAAGUUUCGGCGGUUGGGGAUGGACUCGCGGCUUAUCGGCUUGUUGGUGGGGUAGUGGCUUACCAAGGCUUUGACGGGUAGCCGGCCUGAGAGGGUGACCGGCCACAUUGGGACUGAGAUACGGCCCAGACUCCUACGGGAGGCAGCAGUGGGGAAUAUUGCACAAUGGGCGGAAGCCUGAUGCAGCAACGCCGCGUGCGGGAUGACGGCCUUCGGGUUGUAAACCGCUUUCGCCUGUGACGAAGCGUGAGUGACGGUAAUGGGUAAAGAAGCACCGGCUAACUACGUG
rnacentral:rRNA from 1 species